CCUACGGGAGGCAGCAGUGGGGAAUAUUGCACAAUUGGGGAAACCCUGAUGCAGCGACGCCGCGUGAGUGAAGAAGUAAUUCGUUACGUAAAGCUCUAUCAGCAGGGAAGAAAAUGACGUUACCGGAGGAAGAAGCCCCGGCUAACUACGUUCCAGCAGCCGAGGUAAUACGUAGGGGGCAAGCGAUAUCCGGAUAUACUGGGUGGAAAGCGAGCGUAGACGGUGCGACAAGUCUGGAUUGAAAUGCCGCGGCUUAACUGCGGAACUGAUUGUGAAACUGUCGAACGAGAGGGCGGGAGGGGUAAGCGGAAUUCCUAGUGUAGCGGUGAAAUGCGUAGAUAUUAGGAGGAACACCGGUGGCGAAGGCGGCUUACUGGACCGUAACUGACGUUGAGGCUCGAAAGCGUGGGGAGCAAACAGGAUUAGAUACCCCUGUAGUC
rnacentral:rRNA from 1 species